CACGACUGUUCCACGACAGUCCCACGACAGUCUCACGACUGUUCCAUGACUGUCUCACGACAGUCCCACGACAGUCUCACGACUGUUCCACGACUGUUCCACGACAGUCCCACGACAGUCUCACGACUGUUCCACGACUGUCCCACGACUGUCCCACGACUGUCUCACGACUGUCCCACGACAGUCCCACGACAGUCUCACGACUGUCCUACGACAGUCUCACGACUGUUCCACGACAGUCCCAUGACUGUCCCACCAACUGUCUUACGGACUGUUCCACGACUGUCUCAGGCUUUUCCCACGACAGUCUCACGACUGUUCCACGACAGUCCCACGACAGUCUCACGACUGUUCCACGACUGUCUCACGACUGUCCCACGACUGUCCCACGACAGUCCCACGACAGUCUCACGACUGUCCUACGACAGUCUCACGACUGUUCCACGACAGUCCCAUGACUGUCCCACCAACUGUCUUACAGACUGUUCCACGACUGUCUCAGGCUUUGUCAGGCAUUGGAUGUAUACUGUUGUUUUGCCUAAAGAUGUUGUUGAAGGCUUGGCCCACGCGGCUGAAGAACUUGCAGAUACCGCUUCUCUGCCCCACGUGAUUUAUGAUGAUGGAGACGAUGCAAUCUUCAACUUCCUCGUCCCCCAAUAUCAAGCAGAGCAGCAAAUCUGCUCUACCGC
ensembl:lncRNA